rnacentral:rRNA from 1 species
UGACGCUGAUGCACGAAAGCGUGGGAUCGAACAGGAUUAGAUACCCUGGUAGUCCACGCCGUAAACGAUGAUCACUCGCUGUUAGCGAUACACAGUUAGCGGCUAAGCAAAAGCAUUAAGUGAUCCACCUGGGGAGUACGGCCGCAAGGCUGAAACUCAAAGGAAUUGACGGGGGCCCGCACAAGCGGAGGAACAUGUGGUUUAAUUCGAUGAUACGCGAGGAACCUUACCUGAGCUUAAAUGUAGAGUGCAUUCGGCUGAAAGGCUGAUUUCCUUCGGGACUCUCUGCAAGGUGCUGCAUGGUUGUCGUCAGCUCGUGCCGUGAGGUGUCGGGUUAAGUCCCAUAACGAGCGCAACCCUUAUCGUUAGUUGCCAGCGGGUAAUGCCGGGAACUCUAACGAAACUGCCGGUGUAAACCGAGAGGAAGGUGGGGAUGACGUCAAAUCAGCACGGCCCUUAUGUCCAGGGCUACACACGUGUUACAAUGGCCGGUACAGAGGGCAGCUAUGCCGCGAGGCAAUGCGAAUCUCGAAAGCCGGUCUCAGUUCGGAUCGGAGUCUGCAACUCGACUCCGUGAAGCUGGAUUCGCUAGUAAUCGCGCAUCAGCCAUGGCGCGGUGAAUACGUUCCCGGGCCUUGUACACACCGCCCGU